GGAUGACCUCGGAUCAGGUAGGGAUACCCGCUGAACUUAAGCAUAUCAAUAAGCGGAGGAAAAGAAACCAACAGGGAUUACCUCAGUAACGG
rnacentral:rRNA from 1 species